CGGCAUGCUUUACACAUGCAAGUCGAACGGCAGCGGGGGCUUCGGCCUGCCGGCGAGUGGCGAACGGGUGAGUAAUGCAUCGGAACGUGCCCAUGUCGUGGGGGAUAACGUAGCGAAAGCUACGCUAAUACCGCAUACGCCCCUGAGGGGGGAAGCGGGGGGAUUCUUCGGAACCUCGCGCGAUUGGAGCGGCCGAUGUCGGAUUAGCUAGUAGGUGAGGUAAAGGCUCACCUAGGCGACGAUCCGUAGCGGGUCUGAGAGGAUGAUCCGCCACACUGGGACUGAGACACGGCCCAGACUCCUACGGGAGGCAGCAGUGGGGAAUUUUGGACAAUGGGCGCAAGCCUGAUCCAGCCAUGCCGCGUGAGUGAAGAAGGCCUUCGGGUUGUAAAGCUCUUUCGGCCGGGAAGAAAUCGUGGUCUCUAAUAUAGGCCAUGGAUGACGGUACCGGACUAAGAAGCACCGGCUAACUACGUGCCAGCAGCCGCGGUAAUACGUAGGGUGCGAGCGUUAAUCGGAAUUACUGGGC
rnacentral:rRNA from 1 species